UCGCUCCAAGGCCUGAACGAGACGCUGACGUCUCCUCUGAUUGGCUGAUAGAUGAUGAGCGCUAGCGCCACCAUGGCUGAGUUAUGAGUUUGAACUUUCCAUCCGUGUCUGCCAUGAAUAUUAAUGACUUUUCUCUGGAGAUAAAUUAUUCACAUGUGGUUUUAAUUUCAUUUCUUAUUUCAUGGAAACACUGCAACAGUGAAAUUGUGUUUUUUUGACAUUAGCAGAAAACAGACUGAGAUUUGCUGACAGUUGUCAUGGAAACCUCCCAGAGUGACGAAGACUCCUCCAGGCCUUCAUCGCCGCAGCUCGUUCCGGCUGCUGCUGCAGCACCCAGACACCGGCGGCCCUCGGGGGCCCGGCGGUGGCAGCAUCAUGCCGCCGCCUCUCUGUGUUUCCUGCAGGAGAAGGAAGGCGGCGUCCUGCCGUCCUGGAGGAUCUGCUGUUCUCCACCAUGGCAGAGGGACAGGAGGACGUCCCAGCGUGAGUCUCCAGAGGACGGACACGGAGACGCCGUCCGCCUCGCCGUCUCUGCCUUCAGGCUCUGAAAUCCACGGGGCGUCGGACCGGAGACCCUCGGCUCAAAGAGGUCAAGGAGACGCUGAAGGUCGCCAUGGAGACGACCUCAGACGGAGCGCUGGACCGACUCCUCCUCAAGAAUGUGAACUAGAAGCAGCUCCACAGAGAUGAAAACAGCCCGCAGAGACUCUGAGCGGAGCUAGCGAUGCUAACGAUGCUAACAGGCUCCAGCAGCAGCUGUGGCUCCUAAACUGGAGCUUCAGCUCCAACAGAGCUGAAUCAAAGCUCUACAACUCUGGUUUAGACGAUAAGAUGCUGAGCUUCCGGUCUGAAGGUAGGAAAAUAUUUAUGAAAAGUUAAAUUAUCCUGGAAACAGUCAGAAUGAUGUUGAUGUUUGAUGCUCCGACUGCAGCUUUUAAUACAGGAAAUGACUAAAGGUCACGACCUUGAGCAUCUUUAAUGGGAUCUACUUCAAAAACUACAAUUCUUAGAUUUCAAACUAGGUGCAGAUAAUUUUACACUAAGGAAAGAAUAUUUAAAACCAAGUUUUUAGUCUUUUGAUUCAUAAAACUUCAGUCCAGGUUGAUUUCAGGGCUUUUGAUGUAACUGGACCACAAUCAUCUGGACCACAGUCACCACGUCCUCCAUAUAG